UGACCGCAUGGGUUUCCUUCCCCAUCCCAGACAUGUGGAUUUGGUAGUUAACUUGUAAGUUGGCGUCUGUAAAUUGCCUCUAGUGUGUAGGGAGUGGAUGCAAAAACAUGAUAAUGUAAAACUGGUGUGAAUGAGUGAUCGUGGUCGGCGAGCUGAUGACCAAUUAGAAAAGAAACACUGUGUGGGGAGAUGUUCGCGGAAGGAGAUGUUGUGAAGACUUCCAUUUAAAACACACCCUGAUUCUGGCCGAGUGUCUUAAAGUGUGAAGUCACUUCAUGACCCUUGGCGAUAAAGAUUGCGGGUCUGGGUUUAUAUAUAGCCUCGGGUAGAAUAAAAUAUUGAUAUCACUGCAAUACAGCAAUGAUCACAACCAAACUCUGAUAUUGAACAAAAUCAGUUAAUGGGUCAGAUGAUCUAUAGCUUGAUCCAAGAAGCAAGUUUUAAGGGUCAUCUCAAACACAUUGUAUGUUCCUAUUUUUUUUUUUUAAUUAAAUGCAGCGAUUGGAAAAUAUUUAACCUAAAUAGAUAAUGGUUGUACAUUUGACCUGACGUGACGACCUGUGUUUAUGAUGACCAGUUCUUUAAUUGCCCCAAUUUGUGUUACAAUAAAAAAGCUAAAUGUAUUUUUCCCAGGUCCUUGUGGUGGGCAACCCAGCCAAUACCAAUUGUUUGAUUGCGCUGAAGUCUGCACCGUCGAUUCCAAAAGAGAAUUUCUUUUGCCUGACCCGCUUGGAUCACAACAGAGCGAGGGCUCAGCUUCCAGUCAGAUUGGGA